rnacentral:rRNA from 1 species
CGCCAGUCGCAUCGCCGGGUAGCUAUGUUCGGAAGGGAUAACCGCUGAAAGCAUCUAAGCGGGAAGCCUACCUCAAGAUAAGAUUUCCCUAGGACUUUAUGUCCUCUAAAGAGCCGUUCGAGACUAGGACGUUGAUAGGUUGGAUGUGGAAGCAUAGUGAUAUGUGAAGCUGACCAAUACUAAUUGCUCGUGAGGCUUGACUAUACAACACCCAAGCAGUUG